GACGAACGCUGGCGGCGUGCUUAACACAUGCAAGUCGAACGGAAAGGCCCUGCUUUUGUGGGUUGCUCGAGUGGCGAACGGGUGAGUAACACGUGAGUAACCUGCCCUUGACUUUGGGAUAACUUCAGGAAACUGGGGCUAAUACCGGAUAGGAGCUCCUGCUGCAUGGUAGGGGUUGGAAAGUUUCGGCGGUUGGGGAUGGACUCGCUGCUUAUCAGCUUGUUGGUGGGGUAGUGGCUUACCAAGGCUUUGACGGGUAGCCGGCCUGGGAGGGUUACCGGGGACAUUAGGACUGAGAGACGGACCAGAAUCGUACGGGACGCAGUAGUGGGGAGUAUUGCACAGUGGGGGGAAGUGUGAUGCAGAAACGCUGCGUGCGGGAUGACGGGCUUCGGGUUGUAAACAGAUUUCGAAUGUGACGAAGAGUGAGUGACGGUAAUGGGUAAAGAAGCACCGGCUAACUACGUG
rnacentral:rRNA from 1 species